CAGCCGCCGCGGUAAUACCAGCUCUCCGAGUGGUGUGGAUGUUUAUUGGGCCUAAAGCAUCCGUAGCUGGCUGAGUUAGUCCUUUGUUAAAUCCACCGAAUUAAUCGUUGGAUUGCGGGGGAUACUGCUCGGCUAGGGGACGAGAGAGGCAGACGGUAUUUUCGGGGUAGGGGUGAAAUCCUAUAAUCCCGGGAAGACCACCAGUGGCGAAGGCUGUCUGCUAGAACGCGCCCGACGGUGAGGGAUGAAAGCUGGGGUAGCGAACCGGAUUAGAUACCCGGGUAGUCCCAGCUGUAAACGAUGCAGGCUAGGUGUUUGGACGGCCACGUGCCGUUCUAGUGCCGCAGGGAGGCUGUUAAGCCUGCCGCCUGGGGAGUACGAUCGCAAGAUUGAAACUUAAAGGAAUUGGCGGGGGAGCAC
rnacentral:rRNA from 1 species